rnacentral:miRNA from 14 species
AUAUGUAUUGUGCAUAUGUGACUGCAUGUACAUUUGCAUGCAUACGUGUAUACAUAUACACACAUGCAUACAUAUGCACAUGUAUGUAACAGAGUAACUGUAUACGU